rnacentral:tmRNA from 1 species
UAGAGCCCUCUCUCCCUAGCCUCCGCUCUUAGGACGGGGAUCAAGAGAGGUCAAACCCAAAAGAGAUCGCGUGAAUGCCUUGCCUGGGGUUGCAGCGUUAAACUUAAUCAGGAUAGUUUGUUAGUGGCGUGUCUGUCCGCAGCUGGCAAAUGAAUUUAAAGACUAGACUAAGCAUGUAGUACCGAGGAUGUAGAAAUUUCGGACGCGGGUUCAA